rnacentral:rRNA from 1 species
GACGAACGCUGGCGGCGUGCUUAACACAUGCAAGUCGAACGGAAAGGCCCUGCUUUUGUGGGGUGCUCGAGUGGCGAACGGGUGAGUAACACGUGAGUAACCUGCCCUUGACUUUGGGAUAACUUCAGGAAACUGGGGCUAAUACCGGAUAGGAGCUCCUGCUGCAUGGUGGGGGUUGGAAAGUUUCGGCGGUUGGGGAUGGACUCGCGGCUUAUCAGCUUGUUGGUGGGGUAGUGGCUUACCAAGGCUUUGACGGGUCGCCGGCCUGAGAGGGUGACCGGCCACAUUGGGACUGAGAUACGGCCCAGACUCCUACGGGAGGCAGCAGUGGGGAAUAUUGCACAAUGGGCGGAAGCCUGAUGCAGCAACGCCGCGUGCGGGAUGACGGCCUUCGGGUUGUAAACCGCUUUCGCCUGUGACGAAGCGUGAGUGGCGGUAAUGGGUAAAGAAGCACCGGCUAACUACGUG